AACACAACAGUCGGAUCUUUCGAGUGUUUUUUUCUUCUUCCCAGAUUCAUCUUCUUCACUCGAUCAUUUCUGCAAUCAGAUUUUACAGAGCAAUUCAAAGUGCAGAGGCCAAAUAUGGGAGGUGGGCAUGGAGCGGGUACAACUUACAAGGGCAUCACCAUACACCAGCCGAAGCGCUGGCACACCGUCACCGGCAAGGGCUUGUGCGCCGUCAUGUGGUUUUGGGUGCUAUACAGGGCGAAGCAAGAUGGACCUGUAGUACUGGGUUGGAGACAUCCAUGGGAGGGCCACGGUGACCAUGGACAUGAGCAUUAGAUAAAAAAGUCGAAACAAAAUGUGUCAUAGCUUUCUGCUGUAGUGCCACACUGAACUAUUAACCACUUAACCAUCAGGUUCUUUGUAGGCCCGCUGUCCGUCCAACCACGGGCGAACCGGGAACGAUAAGGCUUCAGCUGCAGGUUUCCUGUUUGAUUGAAAUUACGAAUACCAUAUUUGCCAAGUUCUGUUGAAAUAAGGAUAUUGUGACAGCCAAGUGACUGAUACAUCAAUUCAACAUUUUACCUUGUAAUCACGAAUUCUUCUGAUGUGUUUUGAAUACUUGAUUUGUGUUCAUGUUCAAUCUCCUGCUGUUGUUGAGUUGAAGCAAAAUCAGUACCUAUUUCUGAAUACAGUUUGCUCUCUGUUCCCAUUA